rnacentral:lncRNA from 1 species
AUCAUCACCUUAACGAACUCCUCGUAGUUGAUCUGCCCGUCGCCGUCGACAUCGGCCUCGCGGAUCAUCUCGUCCACCUCCUCGUCCGUUAGCUUCUCGCCGAGGUUGGUCAUGACGUGGCGGAGCUCCGCGGCCGAGAUGAAGCCGUUCUGGUCCUUAUCGAACACCCGGAAAGCCUCCUUGAGCUCUUCCUCCGAGUCGGUGUCCUUCAUCUUGCGAGCCAUCAGGUUGAGGAAUUCCGGGAAGUCGAUAGUGCCGUUGCCGUCUGCAUCCACCUCGUUGAUCAU